CCCCUCUCAGGGUGGCACCUGGAGAGAUUUCAGUACUCUACCAGUCUCGGCUACGGGAGGGAGAGUCAGGCAGAGGUCUGCCCAUUUCAUUCCUAGCUUGGGCAGUGGCUAGCAAGUGGAAGGCAAUCUGCCACAAGU